UACGUAGGUGGCAAGCGUUGUCCGGAUUUAUUGGGCGUAAAGCGAGCGCAGGCGGUUUCUUAAGUCUGAUGUGAAAGCCCCCGGCUCAACCGGGGAGGGUCAUUGGAAACUGGGAGACUUGAGUGCAGAAGAGGAGAGUGGAAUUCCACGUGUAGCGGUGAAAUGCGUAGAUAUGUGGAGGAACACCAGUGGCGAAGGCGACUCUCUGGUCUGUAACUGACGCUGAGGCGCGAAAGCGUGGGGAGCAAACAGG
rnacentral:rRNA from 1 species